UACGGAGGGUGCAAGCGUUAUCCGGAUUCACUGGGUUUAAAGGGUGCGUAGGAGGGCAGGUAAGUCAGUGGUGAAAUCUCCGGGCUUAACUCGGAAACUGCCGUUGAUACUAUCUGUCUUGAAUACCGUGGAGGUGAGCGGAAUAUGUCAUGUAGCGGUGAAAUGCUUAGAUAUGACAUAGAACACCAAUUGCGAAGGCAGCUCACUACACGAAUAUUGACUCUGAGGCACGAAAAGCGUGGGGAUCAAACAGG
rnacentral:rRNA from 1 species